CUCAAGAAGAUGUAACAAAUGAGGAAAGAAAAACUCAAUCCCAAGCAACACAAACCCUAGUCGCCAUACACCCUAUUGGCAUUGUGAUUGGAGGAGAAGAGUAAGAGGGCGACUAAGAUGAUCAAGGCUAGUUAACCAUAUCAUCAACAACAUGCACUUCUCCAGUAAAGAGAACAUGUGGCAAGACCUUAAAAGUGAAAGCAAUGUUAGAGUCAUUGUGGAAACCAACCGCAACCAUCAAAGGAAGAUCAACCGCAACCAUCAAAGGAAGAUCAACCGCCAGACAAAACCGAGUCAGUGCGAUGAGUCCAAACCCAAUGAGAUUCAACCUGUCGAAAAGCAGGUGAAAAUGGCAUCUUACUCAUGUACAAGAAGGCUAAGCUUAGGAGAGAACCAAAAAUAAAAAUAAAAAAAUAGCAAGAAAGCUAAAGAGAAGAGCCAUGCUCCAACCAAAGUGAAGCUUAUGCAGUGGUAGGUGUUCCAUAGUGGUGAAGCCAAGGGGCUGGCAAGGGCCCCGCCUUCUCUAAAAUGAAAAAAAUUUUAUUUAGAUAUUUUAUUAUUUAUAAAAUUUUAAAUUACUUGUAACACCUCAAAUCCGGCUUAAACAUUAUAGUCGAAUUUAGAGAAAUUACAUUAAUUUGUGUAAAAACCCAAAAGUUUGAAUCCCAACUUUAUAAAUUGUAAAUUCUAAAAAUAUUAACUUUUGGCAAAACAAUUAUAUGUUAUUUUGAAAAUUACGCACAAAACUUAUUUAUUUUAUAGAAAACUCUUAACCUGAUGUCAUUUGGAAACUUCUAAUUUCAGUGUGAGUUUCGAAAAUAUAAAUAUGGCAAAGCUCUUACAUAUUUUAGAAAAACUUGUACUUGAAAACUUCUAUUUCAUAGUAAAACCACCAAGUCCUGUAGCAGCAAAUUUUUCUUUUUACCGAAUUUAAUUUUAAAAACCAAUUUCUAAUCUCAUAAAUCAUGCAUUACCUUCGUUUUACGUUAAAAAUACCAAAAUCUGACAAAAAUGAGUAGAAACCACAAAACAAAUUCAUAAAAAAUUUACUAACCAAAAGAUAAAAAAUAAACUAAUCAUAAACAGAUUUAUUUACUUGAUCAAAAAUUCAAUCCGAGCUCCCGCACCCCGUCCGAUGCUAAACUUUACUAAUUACCUGAAACGUCAGAAAUAAAACAAAGGGGUGAGCUAUAAAACUCAAUGUAUACUGAAACUCAACAUAGAACACACAUAUCACAAUAUACAAUUCAAAGUUUCAAAGAGAAUUUCAUCACGAACAAUUGACCAAAACUAAGAAUACAUGAUUAUGUUUAUGCGAUAUUUUUUAGAAAACAUAAUGCAAAUUUUUCGAAAAACUUCCUACCCAGUUUCGCUAUACACCAAAAUAGAGUUCCCCAGAACUCGUCCAACAAAAUCACGCCAACAAAUAAUUGUGGACAUUACCACCAAAGUUGUCAGAAUCUUCCUCUUUUCAACAUUAUCCCAAACCUUAUAAUGUGUCCUAGCAUGCAUAUAUAGAAAUAGAAUGAUAAGCAUGUAAGACAUGCUGACAUACACUAAUAGAAGACAGAAGGCAUGAGAGUCUAUGCUUUAUAGAAUAGAAGUAUCAAACCUUGUAGAAAUGCAUCAAUUUUACCAUGAAGUCACAUGCAUAGUUACAUAAUAGAUCUAGAGAUAUACAAAUAAUCAUAUUCUGACAUCACAUGCUCACAUCCUAACAUAAUAACAUGGUAACGUACGGAUCCUACAGAUAAGCUAAUUACAAAUCACGAAUCAAAUCGAGUCAAAAUAAAAAAUUUUAGAAAAUGGGCUCACAUGGCCCAAUUGACCAACUCGUGUGGCCCACACGAUCUGGCACACUACUUGUCACAUGAUCGUGAGGUGUCGCACUACUUGUCACACGAUCGUGAGGCAUCGACAAACCAAAUUUCAACUUUCUGCUGUUCACUAUUUUUUGAAUUUUCCGAUACACACCUAACUGUUUUUCAGUGACGACACACCGCAACAAUUCCAGAACCUAAAAUCAAUGAUUAAAUGGCCCAAUUUAGCCACAAAACACUUAAUCAAAACACUAACACGAUUACAAUCGCUAAGGUUAAACUUUAAUAAAAUAAAAAUCAGCCUUUCGACAAAUGAUCACUUACCCAACAGAGACGUAGGCCUUCAAAUCACCUAAUUCGUUGAAAGGAUGCCAUGUGAUUCGCAAACCUCUCCUAACAGUACAUCAAAACCAUCAAUUCACACAAAUCUUACCAACCCAUACUUACAACCCUUCCACAAAAACGAAAACAACAUGCUCUAGGUGUAAAUAGAAAUUACCACUAAGAAAACACCGAAAGAACAGACAUACUUUAGAUAAUACGCCAAACAACACUAAUAGGCAACAAUAGGAUGAAACAUGAAGUAAAAGAACGGGAAUACUAUCAAGAAAUCGCAAAGAAUGAAAAUUCAAAAAAGAAAAAAAAUGAUGAAAAAG
rnacentral:lncRNA from 1 species